rnacentral:rRNA from 1 species
AUUGAACGCUGGCGGCAGGCUUAACACAUGCAAGUCGAGCGGAGAUGAGGUGCUUGCACCUUAUCUUAGCGGCGGACGGGUGAGUAAUGCUUAGGAAUCUGCCUAUUAGUGGGGGACAACAUUCCGAAAGGAAUGCUAAUACCGCAUACGUCCUACGGGAGAAAGCAGGGGAUCUUCGGACCUUGCGCUAAUAGAUGAGCCUAAGUCGGAUUAGCUAGUUGGUGGGGUAAAGGCCUACCAAGGCGACGAUCUGUAGCGGGUCUGAGAGGAUGAUCCGCCACACUGGGACUGAGACACGGCCCAGACUCCUACGGGAGGCAGCAGUGGGGAAUAUUGGACAAUGGGCGCAAGCCUGAUCCAGCCAUGCCGCGUGUGUGAAGAAGGCCUUAUGGUUGUAAGGCACUUUAAGCGAGGAGGAGGCUACUUUAGAUAAUACCUAGAGAUAGUGGACGUUACUCGCAGAAUAAGCACCGGCUAACUCUGUGCCAGCAGCCGCCGUAACAC